CCGCGUGCACUGAGAGACCCUGAACAGUUUGCUGUUGUUCUUUUGGUUUGCACUAGGAUGCAAAGGAAAAUAGUCCCUGCGCAUUCUGCUGUCUUUGUGGCAGCCCAGAUUGAAUUGGGGAAUACAUUA